rnacentral:tRNA from 1 species
AAAAUUUUAGUUUAAUUUAAAAUAUUUUAUUUACAUUAAAAAGAUUGGAAUUUUUCUUAAAUUUUA